rnacentral:rRNA from 1 species
UACGGAGGGUGCGAGCGUUAUUCGGAAUUACUGGGCGUAAAGCGCGUGUAGGCGGGGGGAUAAGUCUGAUGUGAAAGCCCUGGGCUUAACCUGGGAAGUGCAUUGGAAACUGGUUGUCUUGAGUACUGGAGAGGGGGGUGGAAUUCCAGGUGUAGAGGUGAAAUGCGUAGAGAUCGGGAGGAAUACCAGUGGCGUAGGCGCCCUUCUGGACGGUAACUGACGCUGAGACGCGAAAGCGUGGGGAGCAAACAGG